rnacentral:rRNA from 1 species
UACGUAGGUGGCAAGCGUUGUCCGGAUUUACUGGGCGUAAAGGGCGUGCAGGCGGUCUGUUAAGUUCAGGGUGAAAGCUCCCGGCUCAACUGGGAGAGGUCCUUGGAUACUGGCAGACUUGAGGGAGGUAGAGGAGAGUGGAAUUCCCGGUGUAGUGGUGAUAUGCGUAGAUAUCGGGAGGAACACCGGUGGCGAAGGCGGCCAACUGGACGAACACUGACGCUGAGACACGAAAGCGUGGGGAGCAAACAGG